AUUGAACGCUGGCGGCAGGCCUAACACAUGCAAGUCGAAUGGUAACAGGAAACAGCUUGCUGUUUCGCUGACGAGUGGCGGACGGGUGAGUAAUGUCUGGGAAACUGCCUGAUGGAGGGGGAUAACUACUGGAAACGGUAGCUAAUACCGCAUAACGUCGCAAGACCAAAGAGGGGGACCUUCGGGCCUCUUGCCAUCAGAUGUGCCCAGAUGGGAUUAGCUAGUAGGUGGGGUAACGGCUCACCUAGGCGACGAUCCCUAGCUGGUCUGAGAGGAUGACCAGCCACACUGGAACUGAGACGCGGUCCAGACUCCUACGGGAGGCAGCAGUGGGGAAUAUUGCACAAUGGGCGCAAGCCUGAUGCAGCCAUGCCGCGUGUAUGAAGAAGGCCUUCGGGUUGUAAAGUACUUUCAGCGGGGAGGAAGGGAGUAAAGUUAAUACCUUUGCUAAUUGACGUUACCCGCAGAAGAAGCACCGGCUAACUCCGUG
rnacentral:rRNA from 1 species